AUCUUGCACAAUGGGCGCAAGCCUGAUGCAGCAACGCCGCGUGAGUGAAGAAGGUCUUUGGAUUGUAAAGCUCUUUCGGCUAGGAAGAAGGGUGUUGUAGCUAAUACCUACAGCAUUUGACGGUACUAGAAGAAGAAGCACCGGCUAAUUCCGUGCCAGCAGCCGCGGUAAUACGGGAGGUGCAAGCGUUGUUCGGAUUGACUGGGCGUAAAGCGCACGUAGGCGGGUAGAUAAGUCGGAUGUGAAAUCCCUGGGCUCAACCUGGGAACUGCAUCCGAAACUGUCUAUCUUGAAUGCUCGAGGGGUUGGUGGAAUUCCUGGUGUAGGAGUGAAAUCCGUAGAUAUCAGGAGGAACACCGGAGGCGAAGGCGGCCAACUGGCGAUGCAUUGACGCUGAGGUGCGAAAGCGUGGGGAGCAAACAGG
rnacentral:rRNA from 1 species